GGGAAGAGUUGGGUUAACAGGAUCUGAAGUUGAAGCUGCCCCAAGGCUCGCCUGGCCCCAUGCCUUUACUGGGGAGCUUCCAGCCCUUGUCAAGCAUGUUCAUGGUUUUAGACAAGGAACAAACUGCACUCCUCCUCCAUACAUCAGGCCUGAGGGAAAGCCUUGGAUCAGCCUGGCUCCCACUCGGCAUCAAACCGAAGAUGGCGUUGAACUUCUGAUGCUUCUGCUUCCACCUCCUAAGUGCUAGGGUAUGAACAUGCAUCCCAUCCCAGAAAGGAGACCCCAGUUGCCCCCUUACCCAUCAUGAGGAGGAUCAAGAGCACGUUACUGAUCUGCUGUAGCACAGGUGGACCCACGACCAGCAGCAACCCAGCCAGCAGUUCCAGCCAGCCCACAGCUGCUUGGUAGCUUAUAGGAUCUGGCUGGUAGCCCAACACCUUCAACGGGAACACCUCAGCAAACUGCUCGAACAAGGCUUUCUAUGGGUAGUAGGGAAUGCCUGUCAGUACCACUCAUCAAAAAAUGCAGUGCCUGAAGGCAUAACAGAGACCUCUGCCUGUAACUGGCUCCCCUAACAAAACUACUACAAGUUGA